rnacentral:rRNA from 1 species
CGGAACACGUGUGCACUGCUUUAUCUGGGGGAUAGCCUUUCGAAAGGAAGAUUAAUACCCCAUAAUAUGUUGAAUGGCAUCAUUCGACAUUGAAAACUCCGGUGGAUAGAGAUGGGCACGCGCAAGAUUAGAUAGUAGGUGGGGUAACGGCUCACCUAGGCGACGAUCCCUAGCUGGUCUGAGAGGAUGACCAGCCACACUGGAACUGAGACACGGUCCAGACUCCUACGGGAGGCAGCAGUGGGGAAUAUUGCACAAUGGGCGCAAGCCUGAUGCAGCCAUGCCGCGUGUAUGAAGAAGGCCUUCGGGUUGUAAAGUACUUUCAGCGGGGAGGAAGGGAGUAAAGUUAAUACCUUUGCUCAUUGACGUUACCCGCAGAAGAAGCACCGGCUAACUCCGUGCCAGCAGCCGCGGUAAUACGGAGGGUGCAAGCGUUAAUCGGAAUUACUGGGCGUAAAAGCGCAGCAAGGCCGGCNGGGCANAAGUCCAAGAUNGUCGAAAAUCCCCCGGGGCUUCAAACCUUGGGGAACUUGGANAUCCUGAUACUAGGCAAAGCUUGGGAAGUCUCCAGGAACAACAGGGAGGGGGAAACACAUCACC